CACGUAGGGAGCAAGCGUUGUCCGGAAUCAUUGGGCGUAAAGAGCGUGUAGGCGGCUCGGUAAGUCCGCUCUGAAAGCCCGGGGCUCAACCCCGGGAGGCGGGCGGAUACUGUCGGGCUAGAGUCCGGAAGAGGCGAGUGGAAUUCCUGGUGUAGCGGUGAAAUGCGCAGAUAUCAGGAGGAACACCAAUGGCGAAGGCAGCUCGCUGGGACGGUACUGACGCUGAGACGCGAAAGCGUGGGGAGCAAACAGG
rnacentral:rRNA from 1 species